rnacentral:sRNA from 1 species
AUGUUGACGAUGAGUAUGAGGACGAGGACCAGUGGGAGGAUGGAGCAGAGGACAUCCUAGAGAAAGAAGAGAUUGAAGCCUCCAAUAUCGAUAAUGUUGUCCUGGAUGAAGAUCGUUCUGGGGCUCGCCGCCUGCAAAACCUCUGGAGGGACCAGCGAGAAGAAGAACUGGGCGAGUAUUACAUGAAGAAAUAUGCCAAGUCAUCUGUGGGAGAGACGGUGUAUGGAGGAUCUGAUGAGCUCUCAGACGACAUCACCCAGCAGCAGCUGCUCCCAGGAGUCAAGGAUCCCAAUCUGUGGACUGUCAAAUGUAAGAUUGGGGAGGAACGGGCCACGGCCAUUUCCUUGAUGCGCAAGUUCAUUGCCUACCAGUUCACAGACACGGUAAGUCGGGUGGGCAGGCGGCUUGGUGGGGAGACAUGGCAACACCCAGAGGGAAGGACAUUGUCAACUUCAGGGGUACCAGGUGCCUCUGUGCUGAGCAGAGCUGCCUGCUGAGUGAGCUGCUUGAGCUGGAAUAAGACCACUGCCUAGAUGGAAGGGCUCCUC